GUGCUUGCUUUGGCAGCACAUAUACUAAAAUUGAAAUGAUACAGAGAAGAUUAGCAUGGCCCCUGUGCAAGGAUAACACACAGAUUUGUGAAGCAUUCCAUAUUUUU
rnacentral:snRNA from 1 species